rnacentral:miRNA from 1 species
AGCCGCUCACCAGCGCUGGUGU